CCUACGGGGUGCAGCAGUGAGGAAUAUUGGUCAAUGGACGAGAGUCUGAACCAGCCAAGUAGCGUGAAGGAUGACUGCCCUAUGGGUUGUAAACUUCUUUUAUAUGGGAAUAAAAUGUUCCACGUGUGGGAUUUUGUAUGUACCAUAUGAAUAAGGAUCGGCUAACUCCGUGCCAGCAGCCGCGGUAAUACGGAGGAUCCGAGCGUUAUCCGGAUUUAUUGGGUUUAAAGGGAGCGUAGGUGGAUUGUUAAGUCUGUUGUGAAAGUUUGCGGCUCAACCGUAAAAUUGCAGUUGAAACUGGCAGUCUUGAGUACAGUAGAGGUGGGCGGAAUUCGUGGUGUAGCGGUGAAAUGCUUAGAUAUCACGAAGAACUCCGAUUGCGAAGGCAGUUCACUGGACUGCAACUGACACUGAGGCUCGAAAGUGUGGGUAUCAAACAGGAUUAGAUACCCCUGUAGUC
rnacentral:rRNA from 1 species